UUCUCUUCCUUGGGACCACACAUGUCUACCUUUUGGGACAUCUGGCCUACACUUCUCCUCUAUUUCUGAUUUUUGUUUCUGUUACUUUUCUCUCAGAAAAAGAGUUGCUAUAUGCUAUUUUCGAAAAAUUGGUCUGCACACACUUGUGGAUUGUACCUCCAAGAUUUAGGACGACUCCUAUAAGCACUGGUUCAGUUUUCACGGUCUUGCGCCAUGGUAUUUGAUGAUAUGUCUAAGUCACUUUAUUGGGAGUAUAUCGAUGUGUCCUCCUCCUAUUUUGGCUGUACAUAGUGAAAUCUCUGGAAGCGACUGAGCAAGGGAUCUUCCAGAAGAAGGCCAAAUUUAUCUUACUUUGAUCAUUUUGGGGCCAUUAUUCAAGACUUAAGGUCACCAUUUGGUGUUACCGUCGUUCACACUAAAGCUGCAAUGAAAGUUGACGUUCAAUGCUGACGGAGCAUGAAAGCAACUCUAUAGGUGGCUUUGGUGCACUGUCUGAAAAAAGCUUCUGAUGUUUGUCAGAGAAAGAAUUAAAAGAAACAGAAGUUAAUAGCUUAUAAUCCCUUGGAUAUAUAGUUUAACUUUGUAAGUCUUUUGAUUUGCUGAAUUCUUGGAAUGAGUAGUGGAAUUUUGAAUAGUAUUUAAUAAGUACAGUUCACAAGAGAAAAUUAGUGUUGUUCAACAAUUAUA